CCUUCCGCCGGCUCCGGACUCACAGUGAGCCCUGCGCGCGUCUCUUACUCGGGUCUGUGCCCCGCGCCACGCUGGGCGCCAUGGCGCUCCCCGGAGCCCGGGCCCGCGGCUGGGCGGCAGCAGCCAGAGCGGCCCAGAGGCGCCGCCGCGUGGAGGGCGCAGGAGGGUCCCCGAGUCCUGAGCCUGCGGGCCGGCGCGCGGCGCUUUACGUACACUGGCCUUACUGCGAGAAGCGCUGCAGUUACUGUAACUUCAACAAGUACAUCCCUCGCGGCGUAGAGGAGGCUGCCAUGCAGAAGUGUCUGGUGACCGAAGCGCAGACGCUGCUGCGGCUCAGCGGGGUGCAACGGGUGGAGUCUGUGUUCUUUGGUGGGGGGACUCCCAGUCUAGCCAGUCCCCACACGGUGGCUGCUGUCCUGGAGGCUGUGGCACAGACAGCCCACCUGCCUGCAGACUCGGAAGUCACAUUGGAGGCUAAUCCCACUUCAACUCCAGGCUCCAGACUGGCAGAGUUUGGGGCAGCAGGGGUCAACAGGUUGUCCAUAGGCCUCCAGUCCCUAGAUAACACUGAGCUCCGGCUGCUGGGACGGACGCACUCGGCCUGCGAUGCUCUGCGGACGCUGGCAGAGGCCCGGCGCCUCUUUCCCGGGCGCGUGUCUGUGGACCUCAUGCUGGGGCUGCCGGCCCAGCAGGUGGGGCCGUGGCUUGGGCAGCUACAGGAACUGCUGCACCACUGUGACGACCACCUCUCCCUCUACCAGCUGUCCCUGGAGCGGGGCACCGCACUCUUCGCCCAGGUGCAGCAGGGUGUCCUUCCAGCCCCUGACCCGGAGCUCGCAGCUGAGAUGUACCAGAGGGGCCGGGCUGUCCUUCGGGAGGCUGGCUUCCGCCAGUAUGAGGUGUCCAACUUUGCCCGGAAUGGGGCGCUCAGUACCCACAAUUGGACUUACUGGCAGUGUGGUCAGUACCUUGGCAUUGGGCCUGGGGCCCAUGGGCGAUUUAUGCCCCAGGGGGCUGGAAGCCACACCCGGGAGGCUCGCAUCCAGACACUGGAGCCUGACAACUGGAUGAAGGAGGUGAUGAUGUUCGGCCAUGGCACCCGGAAGCGUGUCCCCCUGGGCAGGCUGGAGCUGCUGGAGGAAGUUUUGGCCCUGGGUUUACGCACUGAUGUGGGGAUCACUCACCAGCACUGGCAGCAGUUUGAGCCCCAGCUGACCCUGUGUGAUGUGUUUGGAGCGAACAAGGAGGUGCAGGAGCUGCUGGAGCAGGGCCUACUGCAGCUGGAUCACAGGUGUGUUGGGGGGUGCCAGGCAGAGGGGGCUGAGGCAUCUCAGGGAGCCCUGACUACAGCUCUCCACAGACCCAGGAGAAGUGAGAAAGACUGACUGGGGUCUUCGCUGUUCCUGGGAGGGUCUGGCUGUGCUGGACUCUCUCUUGCUGACCCUCCUGCCUCAGCUCCAAGAGGCCUGGCAGCAGAGAACCCCCUCCCCUGUGCCAGGAGGAUGACCAAAUGUUCCUGUGUUCCAGGGUAACUCCAGGAAAUUACCUCCCCAAGAGAAGCCUUCCUUACUUUGGAGUAAGGUCCUACGACAGCUGGAUGAGUCAGGAAAACCAUGUCCCCUCUAGGUAUUAUUAAUAUAAGCAGGAAGGGAUCUACUAUAGGAAUGAAGUAUUUAUAAAACCACUGAAAGGGAUAGAGAAGUGAAAAUUGGAGAAAGCCAGUAGCAACUGUCAGAAAUCAGCAACGUGCAGGAGGCACAGAAAACUCCUGCUGAUGGUCUUAGCUUCCAGCUGCACAAAAGCAGAUGAUGUACAGGAAAAUGCUCAGAAGAUGCUCCAAAACUCAUGCCUACUGUCUGCUACUGCUGGAAAAGGAAUCAUGGUUUCUAGAAGUGCCUCUCAUUAGUGGACUUUAAAGCAAAUCCUGGCUGGCAGGAAAUUCUGAGGAAUAUAGUUCUUAGGCUUCCAGCCUCUACUAUGCAGGAGAGAACACAGAAGGACUGAUGUAUGUUGGUGGAUCCAUGGAUGUGUCCAGCACAGUGGCCUGCUGGACUCUGAGAACUGGAAAAGAUCAGAGCAAGCCUUGCCUCUUAUCUUCGGGAAACCAGAAUAAGUUUGGGGUGGUAGGAGCCACACAGACUCUCCUGAGUCCCCUAACCCACUUCCUUCCCCCUGUGCCUUUCCUUUGAGAGUGAAGGUGGGUGGAGUUGCCCAGAGAAAGGGGAGAGAAUUCGGGAAAGACCCAAAGUGUUUGUAAUUCUCCUUUGUCCUUUUACCUACAGAAAUGGUCACAUGGUUCUAUUCAAUAGCCUAAUAAACACAUCUGGAGCCUGCCUUGA